rnacentral:rRNA from 1 species
AUUGAACGCUGGCGGCAAGCCUAACACAUGCAAGUCGAACGAGUGGCGGCCGGGUGAGUAAUGUCUGGGAAACUGCCUGAUGGAGGGGGAUAACUACUGGAAACGGUAGCCAAUACCGCAUACCAUCGGAUGUGCCCAGAUGGGAUUAGCUAGUAGGUGGGGUAAAGGCUCACCUAGGCGACGAUCCCUAGCUGGUCUGAGAGGAGGACGAGCGACACAGGAACUGAGACACGGUCCAGACGCCUACUGGAGUCGGCAGUGGGGAGUAUUGCACGAUGGGGGCAAGCCUGAUGCAGCCAUGCCGCGUGUAUGAAUAAGGCCUUCUGGUUGUAAAGUACUUUCAGCGGGGAUGCGUUACCCGCAGAAGAAGCACCGGCUAACUCCGUGCCAGCAGCCGCGGUAAUAC